GACGAACGCUGGCGGCGUGCUUAACACAUGCAAGUCGAACGGAAAGGCCCUGCUUUUGUGGGGUGCUCGAGUGGCGAACGGGUGAGUAACACGUGAGUAACCUGCCCUUGACUUUGGGAUAACUUCAGGAAACUGGGGCUAAUACCGGAUAGGAGCUCCUGCUGCAUGGUGGGGGUUGGAAAGUUUCGGCGGUUGGGGAUGGACUCGCGGCUUAUCAGCUUGUUGGUGGGGUAGUGGCUUACCAAGGCUUUGACGGGUAGCCGGCCUGAGAGGGUGACCGGCCACAGUGGGAUUGAGUUACGGCCCGGACUCCUCGGGGAGGCAGCAGGGGGGAAUAUUGCACAAGGGGCGGAACCUUGAUGGAGCAACGCCGCGGGGGGGAUGAGGGCCUUCGGGUUGUAACCCGUUUUCGCCUGUGACGAAGCGUGAGUGACGGUAAUGGGUAAAGAAGCACCGGCUAACUACGUG
rnacentral:rRNA from 1 species